rnacentral:rRNA from 1 species
CCUACGGGGGACAGCAGUGAGGAAUAUUGGUCAAUGGGCGUAAGCCUGAACCAGCCAAGUCGCGUGAGGGAUGAAGGUUCUAUGGAUCGUAAACCUCUUUUAUAAGGGAAUAAAGUGUGGGACGUGUCCUAUUUUGUAUGUACCUUAUGAUUAAGGAUCGGCUAACUCCGUGCCAGCAGCCGCGGUAAUACGGAGGAUCCGAGCGUUAUCCGGAUUUAUUGGGUUUAAAGGGUGCGUAGGCGGCCUUUUAAGUCAGCGGUGAAAGUCUGUGGCUAAACCAUAGAAUUGCCGUUGAAAAUGGGGGGCUUGAGUAUGUUUGAGGAAGGCGGAAUGCGUGGUGUAGCGGUGAAAUGCUUAGAUAUCACGCAGAACCACGAUUGCGAAGGCAGCCUGCCAAGCCAUGACUGACGCUGAUGCACGAAAGCGUGGGGAUCAAACAGGAUUAGAUACCCGUGUAGUC